AUGGAUAUAGUUCAAUCGGUAGAACAAUUGUAUGUGGCAUAAUAUGUUCCCUGUUCAAGUCAGGGUAUCCACC